rnacentral:rRNA from 1 species
UACGGAGGGAGCUAGCGUUGUUCGGAAUUACUAGGCGUAAAGCGCGCGUAGGCGGCUUUGUAAGUUAGAGGUGAAAGCCCGGGGCUCAACCCCGGAAUUGCCUUUAAGACUGCAUCGCUUGAAUCCGGGAGAGGUGAGUGGAAUUCCGAGUGUAGAGGUGAAAUUCGUAGAUAUUCGGAAGAACACCAGUGGCGAAGGCGGCUCACUGGACCGACAUUGACGCUGAGGUGCGAAAGCGUGGGGAGCAAACAGG